AUCCAACAGAGGAGUCCCGAAUGGGACGAAAUGCGCACCCUGGAU
rfam:Trichobilharzia regenti genome assembly, scaffold: TRE_scaffold0013847